GACGAACGCUGGCGGCGUGCUUAACACAUGCAAGUCGAACGGACAGGCCAUGCUUUUGUGGGGUGCUCGAGUGGCGAACGGGUGAGUAACACGUGAGUAACAUGCCCUUGACUUUGGGAUAACUUCAGGAAACUGGGGCUAAUACAGGAUAGGAGCUCCUGCUGCAUGGUGGGGGUUGGAAAGUUUCGGCGGUUGGGGCUGGACUCGCGGCUUAUCAGCUUGUUGGUCGGGUAGUGGCUUACAAAGUCUUAGACGGGUAGCCGGCCUUGGAGGGGGACCGGGCACAAUGGGACUGAGGUACGGCGCAGACGCCUACGGGAGGCAGCAGUGGAGAAUAUUGCAGAGUGGGCGGAAGCCAGAUGCAGCAACGUCGCGUGCGGGAAGACGGCCUUCGAGUUGUAAACCGCUUUCGCCGUUGACGAAGCGUGAGUGACGGUAAUGGGUAAAGAAGCACCGGCUAACUACGUG
rnacentral:rRNA from 1 species